CCUCUGCAAAUUUUUCAAACUUUUAUGCUCUGCCACCUCUUGUAUGCUGCUUAGAAAUUUCUUCCACCAGAUAUCCUAAAUUAUCUCUCUCAAGUUCAGAGUUCCACAGAUCUCCAGGGUAAGAGCAAAAUGCCACCAAUCUUUUUGCUAAAGCAUAGCAAUAAAGACCUCCAGGUCUCAGUAAGUUUCUUGUCACCAUCUGAGACCACCUCAGCCUGGACUUCAUUGUCCACCUCAUUAUCAGCAUUUUGGUUAAAGCCAUUCAACAGUCUCUAGGAAGUUCAAAACUUUCCCACUUCUUUCUGUCUUCUUCUGAGCCCUCCAAACUAUUCCAACCUCUGCCCGUUACCCAUUUCCAAAGUUGCUUCCACAUUUUCAAGUAUCUUUAUAGCAGUACUCCACUCUACCAGUACAAAUUUACUGUAUGUGUUCUUACCCACACUGCUAUAAAGAUACUACCCGAGACUGGGUAAUUUAUAAGAAGAAAAAGGUUUAAUUGGCUCACAGUUCUGCAUGACUGGAAAGGGUUUAGGAAACUCAGAAUCAUGGCAGAAGGUGAAGGGCACACAAGACACAUUUUACAUGGCAACAGGAAAGAGUGAGAGUAGAGAGGGAUGAGCCCCUUAUAAAACCAUUGAUUUCAUGAGAACUUACUUACUAUCAUGAGAACAGAAUGGGGGAACCAUCCCCAUGAUCCAGACACCUCCCAGCAGGUCCCUUCCUCAACACCUGGGGAUUACAAUGCAGAUUACAAUUCGAAAUGAGAUUUGGGUGGGGACACAGAGCCAAACCAUAUCAAAGACUACUACAGAAUUUCUUAUUUUGAAAAUUAUAAAAUAUAUGGAAUUUGAAAGGUACCCUCUGAUUUUAACCUAUCUAAAAUUCUAGUGAUAAAAGUUAAUAGCCCAUAAAUAUGUGAGUUAAAAUAGCAUUCCAGAAUGUUUAUGCAUAUGUGAAAUCUAACUUAUGUCGAUAUAAUAUCCAAAUAAUAGAUGUGCUUUGCUAUAAAAUGUGUACUGAUGCUGUAUAUUUAAAUGAUUAGUAAUAUUUAACAUUAUCUGAAAGUUCUCCUAGUCACUCUUUAAUAAAUGCAUUCACUCUGUGUAUAGAUGGCAUACACAUCUACUUGUAGCACUUAGAAGACUGUUCAUUUUUAAUAAAUUAUUACCUAGUAUGCUAUUAUUUAUAUAUAUUUAUUUAUAGCUUAUUAUUAUAUUUCUACUAAGAGUUUUUUUUUUUUAAUAAAUCAGAGUUUGUUAGCUAGACCUCCAUUUUUACCUCCAGGUUUUGUCAUUGUCUUUCUAAUAGCAUGUGAAAUCCAGGAAAGUGAACAUAAACUUCUCACUUCAACAGGUGAUUAAAGCAGAAGGGCCAACAGAAAUAGCCCAUUUCUCCAACUCUUCAGAUACACUAAUAUCUCCUAACUUGCUCAGCACAACAUGCACACAUUUUAUGAAUGAAACAAAGUGUUCUCAAAGGGUGGAUAGAAACAACAACUUCCUACUGGUCUCUGGGUCACCAGCUUCAAGGCAACCAGUGAGCGCUUGUCCUCCCCUGCACACAUAAUGACUUUUGGCACGUAAGUGGAAGGAACUUGCCCUGUCUUGGAUGAGACUUUGGACUGUGGACUUCUGAGUUAAUGCUGAAAUGUGUUAAGACUUUGGGAGACUCUUGGGAAGGCAUGAUUUGUUUUGAAAUGUGAAGACAUUAGAUUUGGGAGGAGCCAUGGGUGGAAUAAUACGAUUUGGCUGUUCCUCCCAAAUCUCACCUUGAAUUCUGACAUGUUGUGGGAGGGACCUGGUGGGAGGUGAUUUAAUCAUGAGGCAGGUCUUUCCCAUGCUGGUCUCAUGAUAGUGAAUAAGUCUUACGAGACUGAUGAUGGUUUUAAAAUGGGGAGUUUCCCUGCACAAGCUCUAUUCUCUUGUCUGCCGCCAUGUCAGACAGGCCUUUUACCUUCUGCCAUGAGUAAGAGGCCUCCCCAGCCACGUUGAAUUGUAAGUCUGAUAAACCUCUUUCUUUUGUAAAUUGCCCAGUCUCAGGUAUAUUUUUAUCAGCAGCAUGAAAACAGACUAAUACAGUCACCCUCAUAAGUUAGCAAAUUACUUAGCUGCCUCAUCUUCAUGCCCUGGGGAUCUGUGGAAGCUUUACCUUAAGAGUGAUGACUUAGGGUAUCUAGUGUAAGAAAUUUCUAAGCAGCACAGAAUUCAAGGUGUGGCCUGGCUUCUUCAAACCAGCAUACUCUCAGAUGCAGGAAUGAAUAAAUUACUUAAAAUUGGAAGUUAUAUUAAUAUUAAUAUUUACCAGGGAGGCAGAGGGUGAAAGUUUGGAAAAUUUACAGCCUAGUCCUGUGGCAAAGAAAAGAGAAACUUUUUAGGAGAGGGAUCCAAGCAGUCUACAGAACAACCACUUGUUAAAGAGAUUUGCAUGUGUAAAAGGGAGCAACUGCUUAUAGCCAAGACAAUGGGAAAAAGUCUGGAAGGCAUUUCAGAGAUCUAAUAGGCAGCACCUCUCAUCACAGGCCCAGAGGCCUAGGAAGACUAAAUGGUUUCAGGGGAGAGGCCCAGGGCCCCACUGCCCUGCUCAGCCUUAGGACAUACUCCCCCGAUCCUGAUUGCUCCAGCCACAACUCAAAGGGGCCCCAGGACAACUCAAGUCACUAUUCCAGAGGAUGCAAGCUGUAAGCAUUGAUGGCUUCCAUGUGGAGUUAAGCCUGGGAACAUCCAAAGUGCAAGAGUGAAGGAGGCUUGGCAGUCUCUGCCUAGAUUUCAGAGAAUGUAAGAGAACACCUGGCUGCUCAUGAAGAAGCCUUCUACUGGGGUGAAACUCUCACAGAGUACCUCUACUAGGUCAGUGCCAAGGGGAAAUGUAGGGUUAGAGUUUCCACACAGAAACUCUACUGGGGCAUUGGAUUCCUAAUGGCUCAGUCCUGUCCUCAAGAUAGUGAGUUCUCAUGAGAUCUGGUUGAUUAAAAGUGUGUGACACCUCUCCCCCUGACUACUGGUCUUACCAUGUGAUAUGACUGUUCCUGCUUCACCUUCAACAAUGAGUAAAAGCUCCCUGAGUCCUCCCAGAAGCCAAGCAGGUGCCAGUGCCACAUUUCCUGUAUAGCCUACAGAACUGUGAGUCAAUUAAGCCUAUUUUCUUUAUAAAUAUCCCAGUCUCAGGUACUUCCUUAUAGCAAUGUAAGAACAACCUAACAUACCACACUGGUAAUUUUCAGUUUAUUCAACAGUGUUUUUCUUUAAUACUAAUAUCUGUAUCAGAAAUAUGUCAUAAUCAUCUAAAUUGUAUGCUAAUAAAAUUAACAUUUAUUUUUACUUUGCAUUUGUUUUCAUGCACUUAUUAUCAAUAACUAGAAAAAGACAUUUACAAUAAACAGUUUGGGUGUAGUAUUAGAAGUCUAAUCAUUCAAUAAUUCUUAAAGAUAUUUAGAAGUCUGCUUCAUUGUUACUGAAGAUAUCACUAAAACUGUAUUAUUGUUGGCCAAACAUGGCUGAAAGUCCAAAAAGAGUAGAUCAUUUGUUGUGCUUUUGAAAGAAAUUGAAUGUGACAUUUUGCUGGACUAUAAUAAUACUCAUAAUAAAAAAAUACAUUAGCUGUGUUCUAUACAUACAUUAUUAAUUAUCUGUUGAUAGUCAAUAAUAUUCUAUAUAAUGUUAACUAUAGUUUUAUUUACCAGUUCAAUAAAGAACAACCUCUUUUACUAUACUGUUAAUUAUAGUCUCUAUAAUGUUAGCUAUAUUUUAUUUACCAUUUUCUACACUUAAGUUACACUGAAGUAAAAGUCUUAUUGCAUUUUUAUUUUUAUUUUUUAAUUUAUUUAAUUAAUUUUUUUGGGAGACAGAAUCUCACUUCAUCAUCUGUGCUGGAGUGCAGUGGUGCAAUCUUGGCUCACUGCAACCUCUGCCUCCUUGGUUCAAGUGAUUCUCGAGCCUCAGCCUCCCAAGUAACUGGGAUUACAGGCAUGCGCCACUAAGCCCAGCUAAUUUUUGUAUUUUUAGUAGAGAUGGCUUCCCCGCAUUGGCUGGGCUGGUCUUGAACUCCUGGCCUCAAGUGAUCCAUCCUCCUCGGCCACCCAAAGCACUGGAAUUACAGGCAUGAGCCUCUGCACCUGGCUGCAUUUUUUUUAUUUUCAGCUUUCAUUCAUCAGGAUAUAGGAAGUGAUAUCUGUUUUAUAGGGAUAAUACCACAUCAGCUGAAGAGCUACUUAUUACAGAAAAAAUGAUUGUACCUUUUCAAAACUUAAAGAAAUUUGUAGUCAACAUUUUGAAGGAAGGUCAGCAUGACAUUAAAUAACAAAAUUUGUAGUUUCAUUGAUUUGUUUAUUUUUAUUUAAUUGAAUGAUUUACAUGUUGUUUAGAUGCUAAACAGAUAAAGUUUAAGAUCUUAUAUUUAAUUUGAAAUAGAAUGCAUUGUGUAAUUUCAUUGUAAACCUGGAAUUUAUAAAUCAUAGCUCCUAUGUUUUUAAAAUAAUUUAUUUACUGAUGUUCAAAGGACAGAACUGUACACAAUGUGCUGUGAAAUUUGCUCCAAUAUUUUCUUUCUCAAUUUGAAUAAAGCAAUCUUCUGAAGGUGCUAUGAAAACAUAAUGACUAGUGUUACAUUUUAUAAUAUAGUUUGUAAUUUUGCAUUAGCUCAUAUACUGAAGUUUAAAUGACAAUUAUCAGAGAAUGUAUUAAGUAUACAAUCAUUAUUGGGAUCUAAGUUCUUUUUGCUUGGAUGUUAGGUUAGCAGUCUCCAAAAUUAAUAAAUAUGUCAUUUAUUAGUGCAAGGUGUAUUUUUAUUAAAUUGCUACAGACUUUUGUAUGUUUUGUGUGUUGGUUUUACACAUAAGACUAACUAUUCAAAUGGAUUUUUCUCCAGAACACUUGUAUCACAUAUCCAUUUAUUUCUCUUUAUCAUGUUUUCUGUGGUCAAAGUUUACUUUUUGAGAAGUUUUUGCCUUAUAGACAUAAGAUUAAGGAAGUUUACAACUUGAUGACAAUUGCAUGCUUGCUAAAUUAGUUGCAUAAUUGUUUUGCACAGGAAAUUGUAUGUGCAAAUACUUUGAUUAGAUUCACAUUCUUCUGGCUAAGUUCUCAAAAUAUAUCAUUGAAAAAGACAUUUACAUUUAAAUGUACCCCUGCUACAGCUACA
rnacentral:lncRNA from 1 species